rnacentral:rRNA from 1 species
CCUACGGGUGGCAGCAGUGAGGAAUAUUGGUCAAUGGCCGGAAGGCUGAACCAGCCAAGCCGCGUGAAGGACGAAGGUGCCAAGCAUUGUAAACUUCUUUUGUCAAGGGACAAAAUCAGGCUCGAGAGCCUGACCGAGGGUACUUGAAGAAAAAGCAUCGCCUAAAUCAGUGCCAGCAGCCGCGGUAAUACGGGGGAUGCGAGCGUUAUCCGGAUUUAUUGGGUUUAAAGGGGGCGUAGGCGGACUGUUAAGUCAGCGGGAAAAGCCCGGGGCUCAACCCCGGCGAGCCGUUGAAACUGGCUGUCUGGAGAGGGCGAGAGGUAUGCGGAAUGCGCAGUGUAGCGGUGAAAUGCUUAGAUAUUGCGCAGAACUCCGAUUGCGAAGGCAGCAUACCGGCGGCGAUCUGACGCUGAGGCACGAAAGCGUGGGUAUCGAACAGGAUUAGAUACCCGGGUAGUC